AUGAAGCCCCCUCACUUCACCGGGGAGGCCGCCGCCGGCGCCUCCUGGGCUCACGAGGUCAAGCAGGCCCUUCGUGACAAGCUCCGGUGGACACCCGCCGCGGGCACCACGGGCACCGGCGGCCACGGCGCCGCGAGGCCGCCGGCGGCCUCCUCGGCUGUGACCGCCGAGCCGGUGGCGCAGCCGGCCCACGGCGCCGACUGCCGGGGCUUGGCCGCCGCCGAGGACCCCAUCAGGAGGGUCAUGUUCUUGGCCCCCUGGGGCCACACAUAA
rnacentral:rRNA from 1 species